rnacentral:rRNA from 1 species
UACGUAGGGGGCGAGCGUUGUCCGGAAUCAUUGGGCGUAAAGCGCGCGUAGGUGGCUUCGUAAGUCCGUUGUGAAAGUCAAAGGCUCAACCUUUGAAUGCCGAUGGAUACUGCGGAGCUAGAGUACGGAAGAGGCGAGUGGAAUUCCUGGUGUAGCGGUGGAAUGCGCAGAUAUCAGGAGGAACACCAAUAGCGAAGGCAGCUCGCUGGGACGUUACUGACACUAAGGCGCGAAAGCGUGGGGAGCGAACAGG